AGUUUGUGACGCGGAGGGAUCAUUACCGAGUUUACAACUCCCAAACCCCAAUGUGAACGUUACCAAUCUGUUGCCUCGGCGGGAUUCUCUUGCCCCGGGCGCGUCGCAGCCCCGGAUCCCAUGGCGCCCGCCGGAGGACCAACUCCAAACUCUUUUUUUCUCUCCGUCGCGGCUCCCGUCGCGGCUCUGUUUUAUUUUUGCUCUGAGCCUUUCUCGGCGACCCUAGCGGGCGUCUCGAAAAUGAAUCAAAACUUUCAACAACGGAUCUCUUGGUUCUGGCAUCGAUGAAGAACGCAGCGAAAUGCGAUAAGUAAUGUGAAUUGCAGAAUUCAGUGAAUCAUCGAAUCUUUGAACGCACAUUGCGCCCGCCAGUAUUCUGGCGGGCAUGCCUGUCCGAGCGUCAUUUCAACCCUCGAACCCCUCCGGGGGGUCGGCGUUGGGGAUCGGCACCUCACCGGGCCGCCCCCGAAAUACAGUGGCGGUCUCGCCGCAGCCUCUCCUGCGCAGUAGUUUGCACACUCGCACCGGGAGCGCGGCGCGGCCACAGCCGUAAAGCACCCCAAACUUCUGAAAUGUUGACCUCGGAUCAGGUAGGAAUACCCGCUGAACUUAGGCAUAUCAAUAAGCGGGAGGAA
rnacentral:rRNA from 1 species